rnacentral:rRNA from 1 species
UACUAGAGUAGCACUCGCAUAUCAAUAAGCGGAGGAAAAGAAACUAACAAGGAUUCCCCUAGUAACGGCGUAGUGAAGCGGGAAGAGCUCAAAUUUGAAAUCUUAAAGGGUUUCCCUUUACGAAUUGUAGUUUAAAGAAGUGUUUUCUGUUGAGGUUUUGGUAAAAGUUCUUUGGAAUAGGACAUCAUAGAGGGUGAGAAUCCCGUAUUUGACCUUUACUUUCAACUUUGUGAUACACUUUCAAAGAGUCGGAUUGUUUGGGAAUGCAGUCCAAAAUGGGUGGUAAAUUUCAUCUAAAGCUAAAUAUUGGCGAGAGACCGAUAGCGAACAAGUACCGUGAGGGAAAGAUGAAAAGAACUUUGAAAAGAGAGUUAAACAGUACGUGAAAUUGUCAAAAGGGAAGCGUUUGACACCAGUGUUGUUUUUCUGAAAAUCAAUUAAAGAACUGUUUAUGCUAAGCUGUUUAGACUUUAUCAGCUAUCUGUUUAGUUUUGAGCUUUUCUUUAAUGCACUUUUCAGUUAACAAGUCAACAUCAAUUUCUUUUGCUGUAAAAAAGCUUGAGGAAGGUGGCUUGAGAUUCGUCUUAAGUGUUUAUAGCCUCUUGCCUAUGCAGUCGGAGAGAUUGAGGUCUGCAGCGUAGAUCCUUCGGGGCUAAAUGCAUUUGUGCUAAGUUAUAGCAUUUUAUAGACAACUUGUUGACUAUGAUUUGUCUUGUAGCUUACUCGCUUAUGUUAUUUUACCUACGCUUAGGAUGUUGAGCGCAUGUCUCUCUCU